CGCAUAAUCUCCGAGGAGAAAAGCAGGGGAUCGCAAGACCUUGCGCUUUUGGAGCGGCCGAUGUCUGAUUAGCUAGUUGGUGAGGUAAAGGCUUACCAAGGCGUCGAUCAGUAGCUGGUCUGAGAGGACGACCAGCCACACUGGGACUGAGACACGGCCCAGACUCCUACGGGAGGCAGCAGUGGGGAAUUUUGGACAAUGGGGGAAACCCUGAUCCAGCCAUGCCGCGUGAGUGAAGAAGGCCUUCGGGUUGUAAAGCUGUUUCAGCCGGAACGAAACGGUCACGGUUAAUACCCGUGACUACUGACGGUACCGGAAGAAGAAG
rnacentral:rRNA from 1 species